AUGCAUUGUUGCUCCUGUACCAAAGUGUUAUUGAAUAGAGUAAUGUGGCACUUGAAAACAUGGUAGUUUGCAGUUACUCAGUACUACGCAUACGUACAUGUUCACCCAGUUGUGUAAAUAAUGCCAGAAGUUUUAUUACGUGCAAAGAACUGUUACUGAGACCUCAGCUCUUGAGAAUCAACUGCCAUUCUAACAUCUUCCUACAACACUGAAAUCCCAGUUUUCUGAAGUGAAAUAUGCUAAGCAUUUCUCCAAGUGGUGGUUGCAUGAGGCAAGACAGGAGGAUGAACAAACUGAAGUACAAAAGAACAAAGCAGUGCACCCACAAACACCACCAGGCACCUGGCGAAACUAGAAAUAGAUUAAAUAUUUCUGGAGUACUAGUGCAGCACUCUGCUCAUUAGCAAGGCAGUCUACUUUCCCAUGAGGCAUCUCAAAAUUGCCCUAUGACUACUGUUUGGUUUUAACUCCUCCCUUGGAUAGGUCACAAGGACAAGUGACUUGGGUUGUGCCAAGACCUGAAAUGGGAGACUGGUGUAAAUGGCAGAUAGCCAGCAGCAAGGAGACAUCUGGGAUAAGACAAGGCGCUAAGGUGUGUUGUACAUCGUUAUGAAACUAUUCUACCUUUGUUUUUGCUGUAACGUUAUAUUUUUAAGAACUAUGCCUGCCUGAGGAGACAGUAGUUGUUUUGUUCUCUGAAUUGCUAUAGCCUCGGGGUGUCGAAGUCAUUUAGUACAGAGGGUUGAAUUCCAUGUUAAAUUAUGGUUCAUGGGUCACUGUAUAAAUAUACGAAUUGCAUACUUUCUAGCACAACCGUAUCCCAGUGAUGUCAGUGGAAGUUCACAGAGAGAUCAGCAUCACUCAGCUGAACAAUUUGCUCCCUUUUAAGAUCACAGCUGUCUCAUCUCUGCUUUUUCUUCUUUCUGCCAAUUCCUGUUCCUUGAGAGAGACAUUUCUGCCUCUUCUCCAUUGCUUGCUGAAAACUAGUUAGUAAUGCCACAGAAAUGUGUUCGGGGAUCAGUCUGUGAGCAGUUUGGAUGGCUAUAAGAUGUGGAGAUGACAUCUAUUGCAAGAUGUUGUGAAUAAUCAGGCCAGGCAUGUCCAACCCAUGGCCUGUGGGCUGCAUGCAGCGUGGCACAGCUCACACUACGGCCAUCCCCUGCCCUACACUAUUAAGGACCGUGGCUCUGCCCCACCAGGUGGCCCAGCCCAGACCUGAGCAUGCACCCAUCCAUCAGCA
rnacentral:lncRNA from 1 species